AUGUAUUCCUUUCAGACUAAUAUGGUUUGAUGAAGCAAGACCCCCUGAAACAGUGUCUCAGGAAACUGUGGAGGUCAGAAGAGGACAUUAGAUUCCUAGGAACUGGUGCUUGUGAAUUGUUAUGUGGUGUUGGCAACUAACCUUGGUCCUCUGUAAGAGCAAAUAAAAGAAAGAAAAAGACAAAUGUCAGAAGAAAAAAAGAAAGGAAGGGAAGGAAGAAAAAAGCUAUGAACAAGCAAGUGAGACAAAAGAAAAUAGAAAUGCUUAUAACAGGAUUGGGGUGUGGCUCAGUGAGUAGAGUAUUCCCCCAGCAUUCAUGAAUCCCUGAGUUCGAUCCCCAGCCUGCAUAAACUGAGUAUAAUGGUAUAUAUUAAAAGGUGGAGGCAGAAGAAUUAGAAGUUAACUAUCAUCCUUGCUACCUACUAAGUUUGAAGGCCAGCCUAGGGUACAUGAGACAUUGUUUCAAAAAGUACAUUUGAUAGAUAUUUUACAUACUAUUGGUGAAUUGUAACAAAAGAAACUCCUUCUAAGUUGUUUCCCCAAUGUGCUCUGCCCUAAAGUGGAUGCUGGGUGGAGGCCAGGUCCAUUGCAGCCUGGGGCUUGAGUGCACUGAGGACAGAGGAGGCUGGGUGCCUUUCUGUGCUUGUGCUCUCCAUGGGAGGUGUUCGACUAAUGGGAGAGAGUCAGGAAGAGCCUCCAGUUUUCUUAAGCAGGCAAGUCCUUACUUCCUCUUAAACAAAACCAAGUGGUUUUAGAAGAGAGGCCAUGUCCUCUCUUCUCAGAAGGGUCUGCACAUGUCCCCAAGAAGCAUGAAGGAUCACCUGUAGGAUGGAAAGGAGUCCACCAAGAGGCUCGGUAGAAGUCAAUGCAAGUGCUCAGAGGGGCAUCCUAGUAGAAGUCAUCAAUCAGGGGCAAUGGUUUGGUGAUCAAGUUGGCUUUUAUCUUUGGUUAAAAUGGAGUGGUUUUCCACUGUGUGUCUGCGGCCAUUUAGUUUUUCUUUUUUAUGGAUGGAAUUCCCUCCACAUCCACUCUCAGUGGACCUUGGGAUCUUGUGAGUUUUCAAGUAGCUUUUCAGAAUUGUUUCAGUCUCAAUACAUUCUGUAGACUUCUGGCAUUUUCAUUUUUUAAAAUGGCUGUGAUUAUCAGUCACUUUUUCCAGUUUUGUCCAAAUAGUAAUGAAAAAAGAAAUUAAGAAUAAAAAUUCAUGGAAACUAUCAUACCACUAAGAGGUCAUUGAAUUUGGCAAGAAUGGCUGUAUUCACAAUUUUGGCCUCAUUCCUUGGUCUUGGGAUUAAAUUUAGGAAAACAGUGAUUACAUAAAUUUUAACAAAAUAAAUGAUGCUUGGCUAUGUUGCAAUUUGUAUUCUUUAGGGAAAAGUAGGCAUGAAUUUCUAAUCAUUCAUACUGUUAUGAAUCGAACUUUUAACAAGUAGAAUGGAUCUAAGUCUUGGGGAGCCUGAAGCUGGAGCAUCAUUGGAAGGUCUCUCUAAAGUCUGAUUAAAUAUUAAAUAGUGUUUGCAGAAAGCGACAAGGAAGCAGCAAAGAUUCACAAAUGCUGACAAACUCCCCAGACAUGAACGUGUGUGGAAGCCACAGUACCCUUUUAAACCAUCUGCCUGCCUCUAGACUUGCUCCUGUAUCUCCUCCAUUUAUACUUUUUCACUUUAGGUGCUUUAAAGGGUUAUCUACAGUCUACCUUCUGUCUCCCUCUAUUAUAAACAUUGACUCUCCCAACAUUUUGCUCCACAAGACUCAUUCUUCUGGCCUGGAACCUUCUAUCAUGAUGCCAAGUGAGUUGGCCAGGAUGGACAGUAAGAUUAUUCCUGGAAGCCCCUCCCACCAGUCUAUGGCCAGCAAUAACCAUACGUGGAAAUGACUCCAUGCUGUGUAAACAUGUU